rnacentral:rRNA from 1 species
CAUUCACGGAGAGUUUGAUCCUGGCUCAGGACGAACGCUGGCGGCGUGCUUAACACAUGCAAGUCGAACGAUGAAGCCUUUCGGGGUGGAUUAGUGGCGAACGGGUGAGUAACACGUGGGCAAUCUGCCCUUCACUCUGGGACAAGCCCUGGAAACGGGGUCUAAUACCGGAUAACACUCCUGCCUGCAUGGGUGGGGGUUAAAAGCUCCGGCGGUGAAGGAUGAGCCCGCGGCCUAUCAGCUUGUUGGUG